GAUUCACACAGGCAGCAAGAGAUUUCCACCAACACUCUGAAAGACCUCGACUGAUCUUUUACAGGCUGGGCUUAGCCCUGAAUAAGUAAGUAAGUCGAAAAAGAGCACACAGAUGUGAGAAGUAUUCGUGUCAGAGGAACUGCCCUACAACACUUACAAGCUGCUUUGUUCAGGAAACACUGAGUGAAGCGGCUUUUGUGAUUGCAAAAGAGCGACAGCAUCAAUUCCCAUUCUGAUCUGAAGACCAGCUGGAAUGACUGAGUGCCAUUAUGAUAUACAAGGAUAACUAGAAGUAAGAGGUAAAUGGUAUGGAAGUAAUGGUUAAUGGCAUGGUAUGGAAGACUAGAACAGUGUCGAGACAACGGAUG